AUGAAACUAAAACCUUGCUACUUGCCAGAAGGAAGUCUGAAAAGCACAUGUAUCAAGAAAUCAACGUCUAGAAGAGAGCAGUAUCAGGUCUUUGGCUGUGUCUCCUCUAAGCCUCACCAUCUACACCUUCGCAAGAUCCUCACCAAUCCUUCAACCCUAUAUAGACAUCGGUGUUUCCCAAGAGCACUGAGCAGCUCCGGUCUGAAUCAUCCUCCAUGCGCUUUAUUAUAUAUGCAGGUUACGAGCAUGUUGGCUCAGUUCCUGACCCACUCAACGGGUUUUAGUUGCUCAAGGGCAGAUUGCAAUAAAACUCAUCUUGCCACUUGGACCCAGUGCUGUGUUUCACCCUCAAGACAAGCUUUGAGUCAUUGCUUGAACUCUCUGCCCCGAACACCCUUUCCUAGGUGGCACCAAAGGAAGAACCUACAAGCUAUCCUCUGUCAGAACCAAGAUAAAAAUCUCGAUCUUGCCGAGCAUCAGUGGACACCUAGAGUAGACAUGUAAGUAUGGCAAAGGGCUUUCCGGUGCUUGGCCCAGCGUGCAAAGGAUCUGAAGGUGCUGCUACAUGGAUUGCUGCUUUUUAGUCACACAAGUGUCCAUGCACACAUAUAAACACAUGUACAUAAACACAUGUGUAAUUUGUAAAAUACAAAACCAUUUCAAGUCACCAUUGACUCUAAUUUCUUGCCAUAUAUUUCUCUCUCUCUCUGUCUCUCUCUCUCUGUCUCUCUCCCUCUCUCUCUCUCUCUCUCUCUCUCUCCUCUCUCCCUCCUCUGGGUGUGUGUGUGUUUGUGUGUGUGUAUGUGUGUGUUGGGAGAGAGGCAAGUAAAUGCCAUAGCACAUGUGUGGAGAUCAGAGGGCAACUUUCAAGAAUCCAUUCUCUGCUUCCACAUGGGAUUCAGGGAUAGAAUUCAGAUCAUCGGCUUGUGCAGCAAGCACCCUAUAUGGGCAUGCACACACACACACAACACACACACACACACCCCACAGAUAUACAGACACAUACACAUAGUGCACAGACAGACACACACAGAGACACAGACACAUACUACACACAGAGAUACACAUACAUACCACAGACAGACAUACAGACACACACACACACACACACACACACACACAAACACACACCCCACAUGCACUCAUGUGGAGGUCAGAGGUUAACAGCAAGGAUCAUUUUGCAGGCUAGUUUUGUGUCAAUUUGAUGUAAGCUAGACUCAUUUGGGAAAAGGGACUCUCAAUUAAGAAAAUGCUUUCGUGGGUUGGGGAUUUAGCUCAGUGGUAGAGCGCUUGCCUAGCAAGCGCGCAAGGCCCUGGGUUCAGUCCCCAGCUCCGAAAAAAAAAAAAAAUGCUUUCGUAAGAUUGUCCUGUAGGCAGAUCUGGAGUACAUUUUCUUAAAUCCUGAUUGAUGUGGUCAGGCCACCCCUGGGCAAGGGUACUGCAUUGUGUAACAAAGCAGACUGAGCAGUCAUGAGGGGUAAGCCAGUAAGCAUCCUCCUCCAUGGCCUUUGCUUCCGUUCCUGCCUUGUUUGAGUGCCUGCCCUGACUUCCUUCAAUGAUGACUGAUAUGACAGCAUAAUAAACCCUUUUCACCCCAAGUUGCCUUUGGUCCUGGUGUUUUAUCACUCUAAUAGAAACCCAAACUAAAACAAUUCUUUUUUACUUUACUCUUGAGAAGGAAUCUUUUGCUGAACCUGGGCUCACUGAUU
rnacentral:lncRNA from 1 species